UGAACGCUGGCGGCGUGCCUAAUACAUGCAAGUCGAGCGAACAGAUGAGGAGCUUGCUCCUCUGACGUUAGCGGCGGACGGGUGAGUAACACGUGGAUAACCUACCUAUAAGACUGGGAUAACUUCGGGAAACCGGAGCUAAUACCGGAUAAUAUAUUGAACCGCAUGGUUCAAUAGUGAAAGACGGUUUUGCUGUCACUUAUAGAUGGAUCCGCGCCGCAUUAGCUAGUUGGUAAGGUAACGGCUUACCAAGGCAACGAUGCGUAGCCGACCUGAGAGGGUGAUCGGCCACACUGGAACUGAGACACGGUCCAGACUCCUACGGGAGGCAGCAGUAAGGAAUCUUCCGCAAUGGGCGAAAGCCUGACGGAGCAACGCCGCGUGAGUGAUGAAGGUCUUCGGAUCGUAAAACUCUGUUAUUAGGGAAGAACAAAUGUGUAAGUAACUAUGCACGUCUUGACGGUACCUAAUCAGAAAGCCACGGCUAACUACGUG
rnacentral:rRNA from 1 species